rnacentral:rRNA from 1 species
GUGACCUCAAAUCAGGUAGGACUACCCGCUGAACUUAAGCAUAUCAAUAAGCGGAGGAAAAGAAACUAACAAGGAUUCCCCUAGUAACUGCGAGUGAAGCGGGAAAAGCUCAAAUUUAAAAUCUGGCAGUCUUUGGCUGUCCGAGUUGUAAUCUAGAGAAGUGUUAUCCGCGCUGGACCGUGUACAAGUCUCCUGGGAUGGAGCGUCAUAGAGGGUGAGAAUCCCGUCUUUGACACGGACUACCAAGGCU